UGUGCAUGUGUGUGUCCAUGUGCAUGUAUGUAUAACUUGUAUACAUAUACAUAUACACAUCACGAAUACAGAAAUGCCUAUAUAUAGGAAAA
rnacentral:miRNA from 1 species